rnacentral:rRNA from 1 species
AUUGAACGCUGGCGGCAUGCCUUACACAUGCAAGUCGAACGGUAACAGGUCUUCGGAUGCUGACGAGUGGCGAACGGGUGAGUAAUACAUCGGAACGUGCCCAGUAGUGGGGGAUAACUACUCGAAAGAGUGGCUAAUACCGCAUGAGAUCUACGGAUGAAAGCAGGGGAUCGCAAGACCUUGUGCUACUAGAGCGGCCGAUGGCAGAUUAGGUAGUUGGUGGGGUAAAGGCUCACCAAGCCAACGAUCUGUAGCUGGUCUGAGAGGACGACCAGCCACACUGGGACUGAGACACGGCCCAGACUCCUACGGGAGGCAGCAGUGGGGAAUUUUGGACAAUGGGCGCAAGCCUGAUCCAGCAAUGCCGCGUGCAGGAAGAAGGCCUUCGGGUUGUAAACUGCUUUUGUACGGAGCGAAAAGGCUCUCUCUAAUACAGGGGGCUCAUGACGGUACCGUAAGAAUAAGCACCGGCUAACUACGUGCCAGCAGCCGCCGCAG